AGAGUUUGAUCCUGGCUCAGGAUGAAUGCUGGCGGCGUGCCUAACACAUGCAAGUCGAGCGGCAGCGAGGGGUGCUUGCACCCUGUCGGCGAGCGGUGAACGGCUGAGUAACGCGUAGGAAUUUGCCCCAAAGUGAGGAAUAACUGCCCGAAAGGGUAGCUAAUGCCGCAUAUGGUCUUCGGAUUAAAGGAUUUAUCCGCUUUGGGAGAAGCCUGCGUUGGAUUAGGUAGUUGGUAGGGUAAUGGCCUACCAAGCCGACGAUCCAUAGCUGGUCUGAGAGGAUGAUCAGCCAGACUGGAACUGAGACACGGUCCAGACUCCUACGGGAGGCAGCAGUGAGGAAUCUUCCACAAUGGGCGAAAGCCUGAUGGAGCAACGCCGCGUGAAGGAUGAAGGCCUUCGGGUUGUAAACUUCUUUUAUGAGUGAAGAAUAUGACGGUAACUCAUGAAUAAGCACCGGCUAACUACGUGCCAGCAGCCGCGGUCAUACGUAGGGUGCGAGCAUUAUCCGGAGUGACUGGGCGUAAAGAGUUGCGUAGGCGGUUUAAUAAGUGAAUAGUGAAACCUGGUGGCUCAACCAUACAGACUGUUAUUCAAACUGUUAAACUCGAGAAUGGUAGAGGUAACUGGAAUUUCUUGUGUAGGAGUGAAAUCCGUAGAUAUAAGAAGGAACACCAAUGGCGUAGGCAGGUUACUGGGCCAUUUCUGACGCUAAGGCACGAAAGCGUGUGGAGCGAACCGGAUUAGAUACCCCGGUAGUCCAA
rnacentral:rRNA from 1 species